rnacentral:lncRNA from 1 species
UUAAAACCUUACACUUUUGAAACCCACCGAAAAUGGCGAAAGACAGAAACAAAUCUCCCGAAGAAGAAAAACAAACACAAAAUGGAGUUUCUUCUAACAGAGUGCACAAAUCUAAAAGGAAAAUAAAUGAUGUUGGUGAUGAUAUAUAUGAAUCCCAAUCCGAGUCAGGAUCCAGAUUUGAUGACGGAAGUCACGAAAGUAAACACAACAGUAGAAGCUCGAGAAAGAUAUAAGUUGAAGCUCCAAGAACAUAUCACAGAGAAAGUAAGCGACGAUGAUGAAAGAGGAGAGAGAAAAGGAGAAGGAGCGGAGACAGAGGAGAGAGAAGUCUAAUGACGAGCGGCUCUAAGAAUAAGAAGAAGAAAAGGAAGGAUAAGAAGAAAGAGAAACAAUCUAUUUGAUUUCUUUGAUUUAAUUUGUUGUUAUUUUGUAAUUAAUUUUUUUGUACAAGUUAUGAUUUG